GGCGUGUCAGGUCCUGCCGACUGCAGCCUAACUUACUGCACCUGUUCUGGAGCCUCACACUCCCUGACUGACUCACACACAGAAACCGGAGUUCUGGUGGCACCUGCAGCGUGGCCCCAACUCAGCUGGGACGAGGCUUGGACACAUCCAAAACCAACGCCACCACCAGCACCUCCCUCCCUCCCUUCACACCUCUGCCCCACUACCCAGACACUAACCCCAAACUCUAGGACACUGGGUUCCUUCAGUUGGGUUAUGAAUUGCAGUACCAACACUCAACUUUGAGCACCAAGAAGCUUUCAAAAGAACUAAGAGACAAAAGGUUGGAAAUACACAGAUCGGGGGAUGGGUAUGAUAAUAUAAAAGCUUUAAAUAUCCUUUGGAGCCCAGU
rnacentral:lncRNA from 1 species